rnacentral:rRNA from 1 species
UACGAAGGGGGCUAGCGUUGUUCGGAAUUACUGGGCGUAAAGCGCGCGCAGGCGGUCUUCCAAGUCAGUGGUGAAAGCCUGGAGCUCAACUCCAGAACUGCCAUUGAAACUGUUAGACUUGAGUACGAGAGAGGUGAGUGGAAUUCCCAGUGUAGAGGUGAAAUUCGUAGAUAUUGGGAAGAACACCGGUGGCGAAGGCGGCUCACUGGCUCGUAACUGACGCUCAGGCGCGACAGCGUGGGGGAUCAAACAGG